ensembl:lncRNA
UAUUUAAAAAAUAAAAUAUGUUUAUUAUUUAUUUACUUCUAAAAGUAUUAUUAUUAUUAUUAUUAUUAUUAUUAUUAUUAUUAUUAUUAUUAUUAUAGCAUUACUCAAAAAUGUUUGAAUGGCAUUGUAUUAUAUAAGAAAAUAUCAAAGCAAGUGUAAUUUAUUGUAAAGAAAGAUCUUAGAAAAAAAUAGCAGUUCACAAAAAGACGUCUAUGGUUAAAAACAACAAAAUGUGUUGAAAAUGUUUUUUUUUUUGUUUUGUUUUUUGUGAUUCUGUGAUGUGAUUCUGUGUUGUCCAUGUUUAUUGUGAUGUGAGUGUGAGUGUGUGUCAGGCUGUGCUGUUUUACUAACACUAUUGACUGCAGGUGAUGUUCUGGACAGAGUCCAUCUGACCCCACAGAGCCUUAAAUACAUCACUGUCCAACAGGGACCUCCAGAGACGAUGCCGAGCUUUAUAAAUCUACAUGAAGAGGUUUAAAGUGAACAGUGUUUCCCGAGAUGACAUCAUUUCCUCUG